GAUGAACGCUGGCGGCGUGCCUAAUACAUGCAGGUCGAGCGAACGGACGAGAAGCUUGCUUCUCUGAUGUUAGCGGCGGACGGGUGAGUAACACGUGGAUAACCUACCUAUAAGACUGGGAUAACUUCGGGAAACCGGAGCUAAUACCGGAUAAUAUUUUGAACCGCAUGGUUCAAAAGUGAAGGACGGUCUUGCUGUCACUUAUAGAUGGAUCCGCGCUGCAUUAGCUAGUUGGUAAGGUAACGGCUUACCAAGGCAACGAUGCAUAGCCGACCUGAGAGGGUGAUCGGCCACACUGGAACUGAGACACGGUCCAGACUCCUACGGGAGGCAGCAGUAGGGAAUCUUCCGCAAUGGGCGAAAGCCUGACGGAGCAACGCCGCGUGAGUGAUGAAGGUCUUCGGAUCGUAAAACUCUGUUAUUAGGGAAGAACAUAUGUGUAAGUAACUGUGCACAUCUUGACGGUACCUAAUCAGAAAGCCACGGCUAACUACGUG
rnacentral:rRNA from 1 species